rnacentral:misc_RNA from 1 species
GAUGAAGAACGUAGCGAAAUGCGAUACUUGGUGUGAAUUGCAGAAUCCCGCGAAUCAUCGAGUUUUUGAACGCAAGUUGCGCCCGAAGCCAUUCGGCCGAGGGCACGUCUGCCUGGGUGUCACGAAUCGUUGCCCCUCCAAACUCCGGUUCGGGCGGGGCGGAAGUUGGCCUCCCGUGCGUGCCUGCGCGCGCGGUUAGCCCAAAAGCGAGUCCUCGGCGACGAGCGCCACGACAAUCGGUGGUUUUUUUACCCUCGUUCCUCGUUGUGCGUGCCCCGUCGCCCGAACGCGCUCUUGCGACCCUUACGCGUCGCCUCGGCGGCGCUCCCAACGCGACCCCAGGUCAGGCGGGACUACCCGCUGAGUUUAAGCAUAUCAAUAAGCGGAGGA